rnacentral:miRNA from 10 species
UUGGUAAAUAUUAGGUUGGUGCAAACGUAAUUGUGGUUUUUGCCAUUACUUUCAAUGGCAAAAACCGCAAUUAUGUUUACACUGACUUAAUAAU